rnacentral:lncRNA from 1 species
GUCAGAAAGCUGUUGGUGACCCAGAUGAGGUGUUCUCUUGUAGCAAAUGAAGAAUCAUAUACUCUAAUACUGGGUCACCUCCAAUGCUCAGCAACCCUGGCCAGAAGAGAAGGAGAUGGGGCUUCAUGAUUAAUGAAGAAAUAAGAAUGGAAGCAUAAUCAUUUGUCCGAGGUCACAGAGGGAGAUGAUUACACAGCUGGAAUAAACUCUCCUCCUUCAAUACCUGACUACUUGCACCAUCCAGCAGAUAUCCUCUACUACCAAGUCUCAACAGAUGGUUCAGCUGGUCUUUAAUGAACAAAAGGCAUUUGUGUAAUGGACUCUUAUUGCUCAAGAAGAAUUUCUUCCUUCCUGAAACAUGAGGAGAAACUGACAAAAACUGUCUCCUUGACCAAACCCUAGUCAGUUGCCUAUAAGCCCUGUAGGCUGUGACCUUAGUGUCUAUCCUUAUCAGACACGCAUUACACAACCAUAGCAACAGUCUUGCUAAGUUGGUUUAACCAGAACCCCUACCCUUGAUAUCUGAUUUAAUUUAUAAUUCCCCUGAGUCCCCGAGGUGACAUCCAUUCAUCCUGGCCAGCUUUCAAUAAGAAUCCUAUUGGAUUAUUUAGCUAGAAAUCACCCCUUACACUUAAUGCUUCCUUUUAGUAAUUUUGCAUCCACUAACCCCGACCUUGCUCGUUGGCUAUAAAUCCACAAGUUGUCCGUGUUGUGUUUGGAAUUGAUUACAAUUCUAUAUUGAGGUCUCUUUUCCCAUAUUGCAAUAGUUCCUGAUUAAAAUCUGCUUUUGCCCAUUGAUAUGGUUUGGUUGUGUACCCACUCAAAUCUCAUCUUGAAUUGUAGCUCCCAUGAUUCCCAUAAUUGAAUCAUGGCAGCAGUUUACCCCAUACUGUUCUUGUGGUAGUGAAUAAGUCUCAUGAGAUCUGAUGGUUUUAUAAGGGGUUUCCACUUUCACUUGAUUCUGACUCUCUUUUGUUUGCCGCUAUGUAAGACAUGCCUUUCACCUUCUGCCAUAAUUGUGAAGCCUCCCCAGCCACAUGGAACUGUGAGUCCGUUAAACCUCAUUUUCUUUAUAUAUAAAUUACCCAGUCUCAGGUAUGUCUUUAUCAGCAGCAUGAAAAUGGACUAAUACACUCCUUUAACUGUGUAGCUCUGGUGUUCUUUGAUGAGCUAGAAACUGUAAAUCUCUGGAAGUCAAAUCUUCAUUUGAACUGGUUGUUAUAUAUUAUUGAUUCUCUCAAUUAUUUAGUUAAAUAAAAGUCUUGACAUGUUAAA